rfam:Desulfobulbaceae bacterium A2 Ga0073110_1482, whole genome shotgun sequence.
CGGGACGUGGCUCAGCCUGGUAGAGCACAUCGUUCGGGACGAUGGGGUCGCAGGUUCGAAUCCUGCCGUCCCGA